rnacentral:lncRNA from 1 species
UCCUAUGAAGUUUUCAGAAAUAACACUGCAUUUGUUAUUCAUAUUUUAAAUAUAUUAGAAGAAAGUGAGAAAGUUGGGGGUGUAAGAAGGCAGGAAGGUGGGAUAGGUAGGUUCAAAAAACAUGCUUGUAGCAAUAAGAAAAUAUAUAUACCCUUUUCGUCAUUCUGUAUGUCAGCGUGGACUCUGGUAUCAUCGUGCCACUGUGUUGUAGGAAAUACUGGAGAAUGAAACCAAUGGUGAACAAGCCAUUUUCUUCUUCCCUCUAUCCUUAAUCUGGCCCCAGGUGAAAUCCGAGAACAGGUCCUAUCCAUAAAUUCUUGAAAUGACAAAAUAAGUUCGCCUGCUUGAUGAUAUAUAUUUUUAUUUUUGUUAAUUUUGUCUUUUGUUUGUUUCUUUAAAGGCGGCAAAGAAGUUUGUUUCUGGCCAGAAGUCAAUGGCAGCAAGUGGAAAUUUGGGACAUACACCUUUUGUUGAUGAGUUGUAAUACUGAUGCACACAUUACAGGAGAGAGCUACUGCUUAGGCAGUAGCCAGUCCAUGACUUGUAUUUACUGUUGAAGCUACAUUAAUUUCUUUUUUUUUUUUUCUCCUGAGACAGGGUCUCACUUUGUCACCCAGGCUGGAAUGCAGGGAUACAAAUACAGCUCACUGCAGCCUCGACCUCCAGGGCUCAAGCAACCCUCCUGCCUCAGCCCCUGGAGGAGCUGCACAGACUGGAGGCUACACUGUCGGCUUCCCAACUUUUGAGGUUUUGGGACUCGGACUGAGCCACUAUUACAGCAGUGUAAGAAUGCACUAAUACAGUAGGUGAGUCCUGGAUUUAAAAGAUGAAAUUCAAGACUGCUUCUAACCUCAAAGAGCCCACUAACUAUAGCCGUGCCACCAGCUCCUCAGAGUGACCAUGGGAGAGUUACUAAACAUCUGAUUCCUUGUCUGCAAGGUGGUUUCAUGCAGAAUCUAGCUCAGGGAUUGUGAGAGUGAAAUGAGAUCGUGCAGCUAAGUGUUAGCAAUGCUUAAUACUGCCUACGAAAGAAAAUAUCUUUACGCACUGAGAGCCAUAGCUCUGGAGUAACAUGGUCCCUGAAUCCCCACUUAGGAGAAACAGGUGACCUGGACAAGGAACUCAAUCUCACUGACCCUCAUUAAGUAAAUUUAAUUUUUUUUUUUUUUUUAGAGGUAGGGUCUCACUCUGUUACCCAGGUUGGCAUGCAGUGGCACAAUCAUAGCUCACUACAGCCUCGGCCUCCUGCACUCAAGUGAUCCUCCCACCUCAGCCUCCUGAGUAGCUAGGAUUACGGGCACGCACCAUGCCGGGCUGCUUUCGUUUUGUUGUAGAAAUGGUGAUAUGGUUUGGAUUUGU